CGAGGAUCAACUGCCCACAAUUUCUGGCUGGGGCACCGGAGCCUCAGGAGCAAAGCCGGGGCUUUAGACAGACAUCAUACCUUCCCCAAAAUGGUCAUGAAUCGAGUUGAGCUAGCUGGAAGAGCAUUUAUGAGUUUGGAGCCGGAGAAGACAAUCUCAAGAAAACUUCCCAACCCUCGGUGGAUCACUCUCCCUUCAUUUCGGAUAAAGGUGAUUGCUGUAGGAAAUCCUACAGCCAGUAGCCUUUAAGUUACCUGCCCACUUGGGCGUGGCCUCUUAACUAUAAAUGCCGACUAAAGCAUGCAUCUGGCCUCUUUUCCGACUGUGGGAUUCAGUUGCGGUUCUCCAUUCCAGCAGAGGAUAUUGUUUUUGUGAACAGGCUGGGGUUCCCCGAGGUUAAGCACCCUGCCUUUGGAUCUACAUCUCAUGGCAGAGCUGGGCCAGAACCAGGAUGUCCUGGGACUGGAGCUCAUGGUGGGGGCAGUCAUCCUGCUUGAGCACCAGGCUUUUGAAAUGUGACACCAUCAAAAAACGCCCAGAGAUCUUCCAUGCUGGAGCGAGAACAGCUUUGCGUUCAGAUCAGGGAUCAGUUUUUGCAUUUGGAAAUCAAAGUAUCCGAACCCAGACAUCCUGACCUAUGUUCCACAAGGGGAGAAAUUGGAACAAACACGGGCUCUGGACUGACUUGGCUUAUUCAACUGUCAUGCCCAUGCAAGCUGGAAUAUCAGCCUGCUGCAGGGGACUGCCUGCUGGUGGGACGCCCUUGCCUGUUGGCACAUUCCUUGGCGAUUGUCUCCUCCUUACCAAAUGUAAACCCCACAAAGGACAAUGUUUGUUCCCCCUUUUUAAUGCAUACAUGAACCUUUAAUUGUUGUGUGGAGCUGCGGGCCACUUCCCUGCCGCCCCAGCUCCCGGCCGCCAGCUAGCUCUAGCUUAUAGCCCAAAAUAAUUACACGGAAACUGUAUUCUUUUAAACACUGCUUGGCCCAUUAGUUCCAGCCUCUUAUUGGCUAGCUCUUACAUAUUAAUCUAACCCAUUUCUAAUAAUCUGUGUAGCCCACGAGGUGGCUUACCAGGGAAGAUCUUAACCUGCGUCUGUCUGGAGUGGGAGAAUCAUGGCGACUCCUGACUCAACUUCUUUCUCCCAGCAUUCUGUUCUGUUUUCUCCACCCACCUAAGGGUUGGCCUAUUAAAUGGGCCUAGGCAGUUUCUUUAUUAGUUAACCAAUGAAAGCAACAGAUAAGAUCCAAGACCCACCUCCAUCAUCUAAUAGUGCCCAUUUUAGUUUGCUUCUCUGUUUUUGUGCUAAAACACUUUGACCAAAAUCAGUUUAGGGAAGGUAAGGGUUUAUUCAGCUUACACUUCCGGGUCAUACUUCAUCACUGAAGGAAGCCAGGGCAGGAACUCAAGCAGGA